AAGAAAUCAUACAGUAUUUGACUUUCUCUGUCUGACUUAUUUCUCUUAGCAUAAUACCUUGAGGUUCAUCUUUGUUGUCCAAAUGGUAUUGCAUAGGUUGGUUACAUUUCCUGAUCUUGGAGAAGGGGGUUUAUGCAGGAGAUGUCCUAUGGGGUCCAGCAGCACACACGCUUCUGGUCCCUUGAGCUGUGUGCUCUAGGAGCGCCCCCUAUGUGGGCUGCAUGUGCCCUUCUGAUGUGGUGGAGCCAACUACUAUGGACACACUGCCUUCAGCAUACUAUCUAUGUGCCCUUGAUGAAGGCCUGUGGGAAAUAGUGGCAGGGAGAGGCAAUUUCUCUCAUCUGCUGGAUGUAAAUAAAGAAGCCAGCGGGCCUUACUGUAACCAGCAGCUGUCCUACAACCCAGAGGGAACCAGUUCACCAGUCGUAGAAUGAUACAAACCCUGUGGAUACAGAGCAAAGAAAUAGAAAGAACCUAUGUUCUUGAUGACACAAUUCUGGAGGCUGGGAGGUCCAGGAUCAAGGCUCCAGCAGAUUCAUUGUCUGGUGAGACAGACAUGGAAGACAUUCACUUCCUAGUUUGUAGAUGGCCAUCAUUUUUUUGCUGUAUCCUCACACAGAGAAAGAGGAGUACUUUUCUGAAUCACAGAGGGACACUGCGCAGUGCAGAUGGACUUCAUCGUAAUCCCCGAUGAACUUAAAGACGGU